rnacentral:rRNA from 1 species
UCACGGUCAGGUCAACGGCAGCACGGGUGCUUGCACCUGGUGGCGAGUGGCGAACGGGUGAGUAAUACAUCGGAACAUGUCCUGUAGUGGGGGAUAGCCCGGCGAAAGCCGGAUUAAUACCGCAUACGAUCUACGGAUGAAGGCGGGGGACCUUCGGGCCUCGCGCUAUAGGGUUGGCCGAUGGCUGAUUAGCUAGUUGGUGGGGUAAAGGCCUACCAAGGCGACGAUCAGUAGCUGGUCUGAGAGGACGACCAGCCACACUGGGACUGAGACACGGCCCAGACUCCUACGGGAGGCAGCAGUGGGGAAUUUUGGACAAUGGGCGAAAGCCUGAUCCAGCAAUGCCGCGUGUGUGAAGAAGGCCUUCGGGUUGUAAAGCACUUUUGUCCGGAAAGAAAUCCUUGGCUCUAAUACAGUCGGGGGAUGACGGUCCCGGAAGAAUAAGCACCGGCUAACUACGUGCCAGCAGCCGCGGUAAUACGUAGGGUGCGAGCGUUAAUCGGAAUUACUGGGGGUAAAGCGCGCGCAGCGGUUUGCUAAAACGAUGUGAAAUCCCCGGGCUCAACCUGGGAACUGCAUUGUGACUGGCAGCUAAAGUAUGCCAAAGGGGG